GGAGAGGUGUCUGAGUGGUUUAAAGUACUGGUCUUGAAAACCAGCGUAGUUUUUGCUACCGAGGGUUCGAAUCCCUCCUUCUCCG
rnacentral:tRNA from 2 species